rnacentral:lncRNA from 1 species
UCACCAUGACAUCGUUUAUACUUGAGUUUAGUAAUUUAGCAUUUUAAUUAUGCCUUUAUAUCGCAGUCAUUAUUGCUAUUAUUAUUGUACUUACCCUUUUCUUUUGGGGCCUAGUGGUGCAUAGAGCGGAGGUCAGUAAUUGCCCACUGGGAACUACAAAUUAUAGUUCUCACACCCUCUUUUUCUCGAUGUUUUUCAGAGCCUUCCACGCAGGGAGAGGCCAGGGAUCGCGGAAAGGGUAUCGCCUCGGGCUAGCGCGCUUACCGAGGGAUCGUUCGAUAGGUGGUCUACCUCUCGUGUUUUCUUUUUGUGAGAGGUUGAGAGUUGUACCCGUAUAUGUAUAGAGACCACCAUUUUUGUACUAGAGACGGUUAUUGUACUACUUAUGGUUAUCUUUGUUUGACUAGCUUUAUUUUCUUUACUUUGGUGUAGAUGAUAGAACCUUACUUGCUCUGAUAUCAUUAGUUGCUAGUUAUUUCACUACUUUUAUUUGUUCUAUCUCCUGCUUUACUUCCGCUUUUGUUGUAGACGCCUUAUAUGUGUAGACAUAUGGCGG